rnacentral:lncRNA from 1 species
CCCUGACUCAGAAGCCUGAUGUCUACAUCCCCGAGACCCUGGAGCCCGGGCAGCCGGUGACGGUCAUCUGUGUGUUUAACUGGGCUUUCAAGAAAUGUCCAGCCCCUUCUUUCUCCUGGACGGGGGCUGCCCUCUCCCCUAGAAGAACCAGACCAAGCACCUCCCACUUCUCAGUGCUCAGCUUCACGCCCAGCCCCCAGGACCACGACACCGACCUCACCUGCCAUGUGGACUUCUCCAGAAAGGGUGUGAGCGCACAGAGGACCGUCCGACUCCGUGUGGCCUCCCUGGAACUCCAGGGAAACGUCAUAUAUCUGGAAGUUCAGAAAGGCCAGUUCCUGCGGCUCCUCUGUGCUGCUGACAGCCAGCCCCCUGCCACGCUGAGCUGGGUCCUGCAGGACAGAGUCCUCUCCUCGUCCCACCCCUGGGGCCCCAGAACCCUGGGGCUGGAGCUGC